rnacentral:tRNA from 1 species
UUCCAGGUGGCUUAGUGGUAAAGAAUCUGCCUGCCAGUGCAGGAGAUGCAGGUUCAAUCCCUGUGCUGGAAA